UCAAAAAUCUUAAUUUCUUUUCAACUGAAGAAAGAAAGACAUGAACAUCUUGGAUGACAUGGGGGUGAGUAAAUUAUCAGGAAAAUUUUAUUUGAAAGUGGACUAAUCCUUUAAGUAAGUAAUAUACCAAGAGGAAAAGAGGACCAAGACAGACAAAAUAACACUCAUGAUUUUGCCCAAGAAAUUUGUAUAGAGGUAAGUCAUAGUUAAGGGCAUUUUUCUUUAUGAUGUACGAUGUAAACAACAAUACCGAGGAAUAUGUUACCAUGGCUCAAGUGCGUGAAUUGUUGGAACAUCAAAAAGACUUCUACAGAACAUUGCUUGAACAACAAGAAAAAAGUUUCAAAACCUGCAUACAAAUCAUUGUUGAUUCUUCAAACAGGAGGAUUGAUGACCUGUCAAAGCAAGUUUAUGAUUUUAGGGUGAGUCUAGAAAUGACUCAAAAAGAACUUGAUGAUCUUAAAAUCAAAUGUAAAACUUGGUCUACAAAUUGUAAUGAAAUCAGGACAGAUCUGGACAUAAUUUGUAAAAGUUUGAUGACAAUUUCAGACAAGACAGAACAUCUGGAGGGCCAGUCAAGACGCCAUAAUAUUGUUGUGGAUGGCUUGAAAGAAUCUGUAAGAGAAAAGGUGUCUGAAUCUGAAGAAAAAGUGAGAAAACUUUUUAGUGAAAAUUUACAGCUGGAUCAUCGGAAAAUAGAGUUGGAUUGGGCUCAUAGAGUUGGGAAGCAAAUGGCAUCAUCAGAGAAGCCCCGACCUAUUGUUGUUAGAUUCUUGAGGCUGAAGCUAAGAACUUAAAGGGCUUGGGCAUCUUCAUUAAUGAGGACUUCCCUGAAACCAUCCGGCAAAGAAGAAGAGAAUUACUUCCAGCAAUGAAGGCAGCCCGUGAGAGAGGUGAUAUUGCAUUUCUGAGAUACGACAAACUUAUUGUUCAUCCACCUAUCCAAAAUCAACCAAAACAAAGACAACCAAUUGUUCAGUAGAUUAAUAUAGUCACUUAUUGCAUUUUUGAUUAGUUAAUCACAUAUCAGUUGUAUAGUACUUUUACAGUAUUGAUUCCAACAAAUUCGAUUUUGAAGCCGAGACCUUUAAGCCUUUUGAUUUGUCUAUAUCUGAUUCUUGUCAUUUUGAUGUUGACCCAGAUUUGAACUUUUUUCAUCGUUGGGUGCUUCAAAUUUUUGUACUUUUUAUACUGAAACUCAGUUUAAUGAUUUAUGUAGAUCUCUGCCUGUUAAUGUUUUUUCUACUUUUCUCUCUAGGAAUUAUGACAAUUUCAUUCACUAUUUUUACUAAAACAUCAGUUUUCUGUUAUCUGAAACAUGGCUUACAGAAAAUUCUAGAGAAAUUUUUAAAUUAUCCAAAUAUAACUCUGUUCAUCAUGUUAGAGAGAAUAAAUUGGGAGGAGGAGUAUCUGUUUAUUUAUGAAGAGUAUGAAUUUAAAAUUAGGGAUAAUCUCGCCUUAAAAUCAGAUGGAAAUGAAGUGGAAUGUUUAUUUGUUGAGCUUUCUACUGGUUUUGGAGGAAAGAACAUUAUUGUUGGGGUUAUUUACUGACCACCUGAUUCUAGUAUUCAAGAUUUUAAUGAAAGUUUGGCCAGUUAACUUGAUUUGAUAAAUAAUGAGCAUAUAUUUGUUGAUGAGUUAUAUGAGUUAUAUUUUAGGUGAUUUUAAUAUAAAUCUCUCAAAAAAUAAUUUUGAUACCCCUACUGCAGAUUUUCUCAAUAUUCUUUAUUCUAGUUAUUAAUUUCCUCUUAUUCAUAAACCUACAAGAGUUAAGGAAAACUCAGCAACAUUGAUUGAUAACAUUUUAACAAAUUCUCUAAGUGAAGGAAUUAAAUCUGGUGUUCUAUAUUCAGACUUGUCUGAUCAUUUUCCCAUAUUUCAUUAUUCUGAAAUUAGGGUUAAUAUUGUUAAACUUUCAAAAGAAAUACAGCAAAAGAGAAUUAUGAGUAAGUAAAAUAUUUCUAAAUUUAAAGAUUUGAUUGCUAGCAUUUCUUGGGAUGAUCUGUAUGAGGAAUAUGAUGCUGAUAGAGCAUAUCAACAUAUAUUUCAUCAUUCACAUAUAUUUUUCAUUCAGCAUAUAUUUCAUUCUUCUGUGGAAUUAAAGUGUUUUGGCUUUGGGGCAACAAAGCCUCAAUUGCUGGAAACCCCUAUGAAGUGAUUUUUUUUUUUUUAUUAACCAAAACCAUUGUGAUCUUUUCUAAAUAAAAGUUUGUGAAUGUUGAAAUUGUUUUUAACGGGAGCAAUCAAACUAGGAUGACAAGGACUCAACUGAGCAGUGUUUUUAUUCCUUCAGCGGGGGAGUCUACAGAUGAUGAUGACCCUGAUUCAGAAGAGUCAGAGAUUGAAAAGACCAUUCGAAAGAUUAUAAAAGCUACAAUGUUUCAAUCAUUCAAUGAGGUUGAGAAGGCAAAGCAAAAAAAGUCCAAGAAAAAUGACAAUCAAAACAAGUCAGCAAAAUCCUGAAGGCAAACGUAUUUGGAACAAAAACAGUACUGUGUCUUGAGUUCUCCCAAAGGUUCUAAAGAAGAAUUCUUCUUGAACAGCUUCGGAACCAAGAUUGUCUGGCCUUCUUCAUGAAAAAAGACCUAUGGAAACACUCAAAGACAUGUAAGGGGUGUAGGGGGCUGUGAG